rnacentral:rRNA from 1 species
CUGCCUACGGGGCGCAGCAGUAGGGAAUUUUCGUCAAUGGGGGAAACCCUGAACCAGCCAAGUAGCGUGAAGGAUGACUGCCCUACGGGUUGUAAACUUCUUUUAUAAAGGAAUAAAGUGAGGCAUGUGUGCCUUUUUGUAUGUACUUUAUGAAUAAGGAUCGGCUAACUCCGUGCCAGCAGCCGCGGUAAUACGGAGGAUCCGAGCGUUAUCCGGAUUUAUUGGGUUUAAAGGGAGCGUAGAUGGGUUGUUAAGUCAGUUGUGAAAGUUUGCGGCUCAACCGUAAAAUUGCAAUUGUUACUGGC